rnacentral:rRNA from 1 species
GACGGGGGAUGCAAGUGUUAUCCGGAAUAAUUGGGCGUAAAGCGUCUGUAGGUGGUUUACCAAGUCUGUUGUUAAAAAUCAGGGCUUAACCCUGAUCCGGCAACAGAAACUAGUAGGCUGGAGUACGGUAGGGGCAGAGGGAAUUCUCGGUGUAGUGGUGAAAUACGUAGAUAUCGAGAAGAACACCAAUAGCGAAAGCACUCUGCUGGGCCGAAACUGACAUUGAGAGACGAAAGCUAGGGAGCGAAAGGGA